AAAAGGUCCCAAACAAAAUUCCAUUGGUUGAAUUUGCCGGUCUUCGUUCUAAACAAAAAAAAAACUUGCAAAUCCCAAGUGAGGAUUAUAUUUAUAUUAUUAAAAGAGAACAAAUCCUAAAAAAAUCUUGUUCGAUCCUUUUAUUUGGUAACAAUAUUUUUGGUCUUACCAUAAUAUUUGACUAACAAUAAAUCACAUAAAAAUUUUCUAACAAUAGUUUAUUACACCAUAUCUUUUUGUACAUGACAAAGUUAUAGACAUACCAUAUCAUUUGUUACAUAAAAAUGAUAUACGACAUAUAGAUCCAUACAUGUCCCAUUUCACUCAAUAUAAAUAAACUUUCAUCUAAUAUAAAUAAACUAUAUCAAUCGUUAAUCCAUCAACUAUAUAACAUUAGACUACAUCCUUUCUAUAUUUUUGUCUUAUAUUAUGAAAAAGCUCAUUCACUGUUUCAUGUUAAGAUUCAAUCUAUACUAUUAAAUUUGUCAAAAUCUACCAAGUAAAUCAUAAGUCUCACGAGUUCAACAAAUAUAACUCUUAUAAAAUACACACAAAAUAUAAUAUGAGAGAGUAGGUUCGGGCACCAGCUCUUCUGGUCGGGUAUGGAAUUCUGGUUUAGGUUUUCAGAUCCUAAACAUUUGGACAUAACUAGGUAUUUAAAAAAUUUUGGUUCGGAUUCGGAUUGAUUCCUUUGGAGUCUGGAUCCAUAAUUUAAAUACCUAUAACUUUUGGGUAUGUAACGGAUCCGAAUUGGUUUGAGAUUUUUAGAACUCGAAAAACACUUGAAGUACCCAAAAACCCAAAAAUACUAAAAACACAAAAAAUACGUGAAAAACAAACAAAUACCUGAAAAAAAAAAUUUGAAUUCCAAAGAAAAAAAUUACAUAAAUCUGACCUAAGGAAUGGACGAUACCUAAAAACAUUUUCUAAUACCCAAAAUAUUUAUAAAAAAUUAAAAUUUUAUGUGGAACUCGAAACUAUAAUCGAAAAAUUGAAUCUGAAACUUAAGAAACUAUUCAUUAUACUGAAAAUAUAUUCGAAAUACCAAAUACAAAUCUGAAAUACCUAAAUAUAGUUAAUAUACACAAACAAUGUACUUCGGAUACACAAUUGGGUUUCGGGUAGGACCCAUAAUCAAACAGAGACCGUGGAUUGAAGAAAUAAUCAAAUAUGUACUUUGCCCUGAACCCAGACCCAAACCACAACUAUAUUUUUGAGUCGGUUUUGGCUAGUUUUUCGGAUCUGAUAAAAUGUCCACGCUUAAUAAAAAAUUUAUAUAAAAGUGUACAUAUAAGAUCUUAUAUAAGCUCUUUUAUAAAUUAUAUCAUUUUAAAUAAAUGCCCGUUUUCGAUAUAAUGACUUUGUAACAAAAAAAUGUACACC
rnacentral:lncRNA from 1 species